rnacentral:rRNA from 1 species
UACGAAGGGGGCUAGCGUUGUUCGGAAUUACUGGGCGUAAAGCGCACGUAGGCGGAUCGAUCAGUCAGGGGUGAAAUCCCAGAGCUCAACUCUGGAACUGCCUUUGAUACUGGGUAUCUCGAGUAUGGAAGAGGUGAGUGGAAUUCCGAGUGUAGAGGUGAAAUUCGUAGAUAUUCGCAAGAACACCAGUGGCGAAGGCGGCCAACUGGUCCGAUACUGACGCUGAGGCGCGAAAGCGUGGGGAGCAAACAGG